CCCAAGAUUCAGAGGCAGGAUAGACAGAUCUUUGGCAGGUGCUGAGUUCUUUGAAGCAAAUGAAGCACCACACUUCCCUUUGAUGGCUGGGAGGACAAAAGUCGGAGGGAGAUGCUUUCAUCAGCAAAGGAGAAGCUAUUGUCACUCUCCUGAAAUUGGAUGCCAUGUCCUGGAGCCAACAGAAAGUUGGUGUUAAGAAAGUGCCUCCAGGCCAGGUGCAGUGGCUCACGCCUAUAAUCCAGCAAUUUGGGAGACUGAGG
rnacentral:lncRNA from 1 species